rnacentral:tRNA from 1 species
GAGGCGUUAGCUCAGCUGGUCAGAGCAGGGGACUCAUAAUCCUCCGGUCGUGGGUUCAAGUCCCACACGCCUCA